rnacentral:tmRNA from 1 species
GGGGAUGAUCGGCAUAGACAAUCGCCGGCGUCCGUUCGUGCGGCUCGAGCUCCGAUGACUCGUAAAUCCGUCGGAAACUCCGAAAUGCCAACGUCAAAUCGCCGUAUUUCUCGGCACGCGACUUCGCAUUCGCCCUCGCUUAAGUAGGGCGCGUCUCCUCGAGGGGAUCCAUACCUUGAGGCUGAUGUCAUAACCCGGAUGUAGGGCAGGGCGCCUUCUCACCGCCCGGCCCGAAACAAUGAGAUCGCGGCCAUGCGUUCUGCUCGAUCUUCGAGCAUGUCCGUCAGACUUAAGAUCGCGCUACAGCCGUAGAGUCGUCCGGUUCGCCUCGAUUGCACGCGGGUUCGAUUCCCGCCAUCUCCACAA